GGCUCUUUAGCUCAGUUGGUAGAGCAGCGGCUUGAAGCGCCGCGUGUCCCCAGUUCGAGUCUGGGAGGAGCCACCA
rnacentral:tRNA from 1 species